AAGACGCGAAGGGUUAGGUUUGCUGCUGGUGUGAAUGCAGUCUUCUCAGGAAGGUCCGCACAGAGAGUCAGACACACGGGCAGUAAUGAAUAGAGCCUGACCCGCAGGCGGCUGGAUAUUGACGAUAAACGUGUCUUGAGCGCUAGAGACUGGCCGUGGGGGGUUUUCCCGUGGAAAGGUUUCGUUAGUAGCGCUAGGGGAGUUCAAGAUUGUGCUGAGAUGCCACAGAAACCAGACUCGCCCUGACAGUAGCAGACUAGACACACCUGAGCAGACAGGUGGCAGCCCCACCCUAUACACAGCACCAGGCUGGACUCCAAAUCAUAUAUUAGGAGGAUUUGAGUUAGCGUGCAUGACAGAUUGUCACGUUAAACACGAGCAGCACUAACGCAGACGCAACCUGGAGUGUCUUAUAUAACUUAGAAAGCUCUCCUGCAUCAGAAGUGCCGUCGUCCUCACUCAGUCACAUUCUGGUGGUUCGACCCGUUCCUGUCCUGCCUGACCGGUGGGGGUGUUGGUCAGACAGCGGGCAGUGCCAUGCCCCAGGCGUAAGUACGUGUCUCCUGGCAGACUCGGGCGUGGUGGUCCGCCGGUUG
rnacentral:lncRNA from 1 species